rnacentral:rRNA from 1 species
UACGGAGGGUGCAAGCGUUAUCCGGAUUCACUGGGUUUAAAGGGUGCGUAGGUGGGUCUGUAAGUCCGUGGUGAAAUCUCCAGCUUAACUUGGAAACUGCCAUGGAUACUAUAGGUCUUGAAUACCGUGGAGGUGAGCGGAAUAUGUCAUGUAGCGGUGGAAAUGCUUAGAUAUGACAUAGGACACCAAAUUGCGAAGGCAGCUUACUACACAAUGAUUGACGCUGAGGCACGAAAGCGUGGGGAUCAAACAGG